rnacentral:rRNA from 1 species
UAAGACGAACCGAGCGAACGUUAUUCGGAAUCACUGGGCUUAAAGGGUGCGUAGGCGGGCCCGUCAGUCAGGGGUGAAAUCCCACGGCCCAACCGUGGAAGUGCCUCUGAUACUGCGGGCCUGGAGGGGGAUAGGGGCGUGCGGAACUUCCGGUGGAGCGGUGAAAUGCGUAGAUAUCGGAAGGAACACCGGUGGCGAAAGCGGCGCGCUGGAUCCCUACUGACGCUGAGGCACGAAAGCCAGGGGAGCAAACGGGAUUAGAUACCCCGGUAGUCCUGGCCCUAAACGAUGGGUACUAGGUAGUGGACUGACAUGGGUUCACUGCCGAAGCAAAAGUGAUAAGUACCCCGCCUGGGGAGUAUGGUCGCAAGGCUG